rnacentral:rRNA from 1 species
UACGUAGGUGGCAAGCGUUGUCCGGAAUUACUGGGCGUAAAGAGCGCGCAGGCGGUCGUAUAAGUCGAAUGUGAAAGCCCCCCGGCUCAACUGGGGAGGGUCAUUCGAUACUGUUCGACUCGAAGGCAGGAGAGAGAAGUGGAAUUCCGGGUGUAGUGGUGAAAUGCGUAGAUAUCCGGAAGGAACACCAGGUGGCGAAGGCGGCUUCUGGC